ensembl:lncRNA
CUUUGGCCUAGUGCCUGACAUAGUGACUUAUGUUUAAAAGAAAGAAUAAAUCGAUUAAUGUGCAUGAAUUUAGUGCUGACAAUACUAGAUAAUUUAAUUAUUUAAUUAUUAUUUUCAUUCCCUAAUGUGAUAUUUAAUGUAAUAUUUAACAUAUACAAAUGUAUAAAAAGUCAAAGUACCCUUAUGACGUCAUCAAAUUCCGAGGCUAAAUGACUGUCGAUUUUAAAAAUCUUUUUUCAGAUUUGCAUAAAAUUAUAGUCUAAUCUAAACUGAAUGCUUUGCAUUUCCAUAUGAAUGACAUGCUGUGCUGGAAAAAUCCUAACAAAAUUAUUCCUAGCUCCAUAAACAAACCAUUGUUCAUAUAAUCAAUCAAAAUAGCAAAUACAAACAGACUAGUUCAUAGUUUGUAUAGUUGGGAAUUGUGACACAUUUCAGAUUUAUUUGCUUAUACAGUCUUAAAAAAUAAUUAGUAUUAAAGUAUGACGAGCAAAGCUCAAGAUUUAUAAUUGAUUUCAAGCGUUCGGAGCGUGGUAAAGUAAGUGUGUGUGUGUGUGUGUGUGUGUGUGCAGAGGUGCACGAGAACUCGGAAGACGAGGGCCUACUGCUCCGGCCGUCUGGUUCCAUUCAGCAGCGAAUCCUCCAAUGCCUUCAUUAGAAGUAACGAGUUGACACAAGGUAAAUCUAACAUCGAGGUGCCAUUCUCUCGGUGCGCGGAGAAGCCUCAUUAAAUGUCGCUAACAAGCCGUGCAGAUGCACUGAUUGGACAGCUCCUGUAUAAUUCUGCAGCCCUAGCAGGAUGUCCACUUAAUGGGACAACAUAAAAAAGACAUGGUGAUGGAGAACAAAACCUUCUCAGAACAAUAAGGUGGACUUUGCCAAAACAGCUUAACGUUUGUUGUCAAUAAGAACGGAAGUCUAAAACAGAAUGACAAAAGCAAGUGUUAAAAGUAUAUGAAUUGUAUACUCUUAGAAAAUCUUUAGUUGUUCCUCUGGGGAAACCCUUAAAGUGUCAGAAAGGGUUUGAAGUAGAACCUAAGUAGAAGUACAAGCUAAAGAACCCUAACGAUACAAUAUACAAUUAAAGAAUCAUCAAUGAACAUUUUCCCCAAAAAAUCUAAUAACAGAAUUCGAUUUAAGGAGGAAACCGUGCUAAUUAUUUAGGAUUUUUAUUUUUAUUUAUUUAUUUUUUGGGUAAAUGUGUAAUAGGAUACUUCCUCGGAGCUAUGUGACCUACCAAGAAAGCAUGAAAUAUGCAAUUCAUACACAAUGCAACCCUUUGCAUUUGUGCUUCAGACUAGUUAUAACAUCUAGAAUACAGUUAAGGUAUUUUACGAAAGUUAUAGGACAUGUGCUGUAUCAGCACUGUAUGUACUCACAUUAGUGCAUGGUGCCUCAGCGGAUUGUCAAAAACCCCACAUCACGUCUGUAGGUUACGGCUAUGCAAAGGUCCUGGGCGAUGCAAAACAGAGGAAGUUGAAAGCUUUCAACUAAGCAAAUAAAAAGGGGGCAGUUGCGCCCCAUCCCGACGGCCCCACAAAGCUGCAAGCUGCGUUUGCCCUUUCCGGAUUUUUUUUUGUAGUGGAGCGCAUGCAGCGUAUCCGCGGCGGAAGCUGAAAAGUAAUAAGAAUAUGCAAUUUUGUUAUCAUGGGACGCCUCUUUAACCAGCUGAAUCAACUCCAGUGGACUGGAUAUAAACGCACACCUUUUUUUUUUUUUUUUUUUUUUUUUUUGGCGAAGCAUAUC